CGUAGGGACCGAGCGUUGUCCGGAUUCAUUGGGCGUAAAGAGCUCGUAGGCGGCCACUCAAGUCGAAUGUGAAACCUCGAGGCUUAACCUCGAGCCUGCAUUCGAUACUGGGCGGCUAGAGUCUGGUAGGGGGAUCUGGAAUUCCUGGUGUAGCGGUGGAAUGCGCGGAUAUCAGGAGGAACACCGGUGGCGAAGGCGGGAUCCUGGGCCAGUACUGACGCUGAGGAGCGAAAGCGUGGGGAGCAAACAGGAUUAGAUACCCUGGUAGUCCACGCCGUAAACGAUGGGCGCUAGGUGUGGGAGGUCAUCGACUCCUUCCGUGCCGCAGCUAACGCAUUAAGCGCCCCGCCUGGGGAGUACGGCCGCAAGGCUA
rnacentral:rRNA from 1 species